UGGGGGAUAUUGCACAAUGGGGGAAACCCUGAUGCAGCAACGCCGCGUGAGGGAAGACGGUUUUCGGAUUGUAAACCUUUGUCUUUGGUGAAGAAGAAAGUGACGGUAGCCAAGGAGGAAGCCACGGCUAACUACGUGCCAGCAGCCGCGGUAAUACGUAGGUGGCAAGCGUUGUCCGGAAUUACUGGGUGUAAAGGGAGCGCAGGCGGGAGCGCAAGUUGGAUGUGAAAUACCGCAGCUUAACUGCGGAGCUGCAUCCAAAACUGUGUUUCUUGAGUGAAGUAGAGGUAGGCGGAAUUCCGAGUGUAGCGGUGAAAUGCGUAGAUAUUCGGAGGAACACCGGUGGCGAAGGCGGCCUACUGGGCUUUUACUGACGCUGAGGCUCGAAAGUGUGGGGAGCAAACAGGA
rnacentral:rRNA from 1 species